rnacentral:rRNA from 1 species
ACGUAGGGUGCGAGCGUUAAUCGGAAUUACUGGGCGUAAAGCGUGCGCAGGCGGUUAUGCAAGACAGAUGUGAAAUCCCCGGGCUCAACCUGGGAACUGCAUUAGUGACUGCAUAGCUAGAGUGCGGCAGAGGGGGAUGGAAUUCCGCGUGUAGCAGUGAAAUGCGUAGAUAUGCGGAGGAACACCGAUGGCGAAGGCAAUCCCCUGGGCCUGCACUGACGCUCAUGCACGAAAGCGUGGGGAGCAAACAG